CAAGCUCCAGCUCCAGCUCACGACUCAGCUCAGCCACGUCAGGCUCAAGCCUCAGCUCAGCCCGCAGCAGCUCAAGCCUCGGCUCAGCCCGCAGCAGCUCAAGCCUCGGCUCAGCCCGCAGCAGCUCAAGCCUCGGCUCAGCCCGCAGCAGCUCAAGCCUCAGCUCAGUCACGUCAAGUGCAAGCCCCAGCUCCAGCUCAAGCCUCAGCUCAGUCACGUCAAGUGCAAGCCCCAGCUCCAGCUCAAGCCUCAGCUCAGUCACGUCAAGUUCAAGCCCCAGCUCCAGCUCAAGCUCAAGCCUCGGCCCCGCCACGCCAAGCUCAAGCUCCAUCUUUACGCCAGCUAGCGGACACCCCUGGCCAGUCACACCAGGCCUUAGUUCCUGUUCCUGUCGGCCAUAUUGAGGCCGUUCCUGUUCCUGUCGGCCAUAUUGAGGCCGCUCCUGUUCCUGUCGGCCAUAUUGAGGCCGCUCCUGUUCCUGUCGGCCAUAUUGAGGCCGCUCCUGUUCCUGUCGGCAAUAUUGAGGCCGCUCCUGUUCCUGUCGGCCAUAUUGAGGCCGCUCCUGUUCCUGUCGGCCAUAUUGAGGCCGCUCCUGUUCCUGUCGGCCAUAUUGAGGCCGCUCUAGUCCCAGUUCCUGUCGGCCAAGUAGAGGUCGUUCUAGUCCCAGUUCCUGUCGGCUCCUCUGAGGAGGACGCCGUUCUAGUCCCUGUCGGCUCCUCGGAGGAGGACGCCGUUCUAGUUCCUGCCACUGUCGGCCCCUCGGAGGCCGCAGCCCCCGACGAUCCCCAGGAGGGGGUCGUCCCGGCCGCAGCGUCUGCCGCAGCGUCUGCCGCAGCGUCUGCCGCAGCGUCUGUUGCAGCCCCUGCCGGCCUCCCGGAGGAGGUCGGUCCAGCUCCGUCUCCUGCCGACCUCCCGGAGGAGGUCGGUCCAGCUCCGUCUCCUGCCGACCUCCCUGCCUCGUCUCCACGUCUGUCUUCGCCUCUGGUUCCUGCCUCGUCUCCACGUCUGUCUUCGCCUCUGGUCCCUGCCUCGUCUCCACGUCUGUCUUCGCCUCUGGUCCCUGCCUCGUCUCCACGUCUGUCUUCGCCUCUGGUCCCAGCCUCGUCUCCACGUCGGUCCUCGCCUCUGGUCCCAGCCUCGUCUCCACGUCUGCCCCUGGUUCCGGCUUUGUCUCCACGCCUGUCUUCGUCGCUGUUCCCGGCUUCCCGCCAGCUUUCGCCUCGCCUGCCCGACGGAGGGCCAGGUCCUUGGCGAAUCCUGUGGCAGGGAUGGCGCUGCCUCCUGCGUCGUCGGCCGCCUCGACUGGCCGAUUCCGGAUGCGACUCCCUGGCUGGAGGGCGCGGUUUCCUGCCACGACGAUGGCGCGGCCUCUGCCGCUGCCGACCACCACGUCUCCUCAGCCCCCUAGAGCACCGCCGGUCUGGAGAGCACCAGCACAUGGGUUGGGCCGCGGGAGGCGCCUUG
rnacentral:lncRNA from 1 species